UACGGAAGGUCCGGGCGUUAUCCGGAUUUAUUGGGUUUAAAGGGAGCGUAGGCCGCAUGUCAAGCGUGCUGUGAAAUGUCCGGGCUCAACCCGGGCCUUGCAGCGCGAACUGGCGUGCUUGAGUCCGCGGAAAGCAGGCGGAAUUCGUCGUGUAGCGGUGAAAUGCUUAGAUAUGACGAAGAACCCCGAUUGCGAAGGCAGCUUGCUGCAGCGGAACUGACGCUGAUGCUCGAAAGCGCGGGUAUCGAACA
rnacentral:rRNA from 1 species